GCCUCGUACUUACAAGGUU
rnacentral:rRNA from 1 species